ACGAGUGUGUCAUUGGCCCGGAAACCGCUCUUUUUCGCUAAAGCUCUAAAUCAUUUUGUGUGGAAUCUGCCGAUUGUAUUUACCGAAAUGGCAAACACAAGAGAGACACAGGGGGCAAAUGUCUUCUUAACUGCCACUAAAGGCUAAUAAAUAUGAUUCCGUCGCAGGUUCGUGGGCAGACCUGUGGUCCUUCACAGAUUCAAACACGUCGAGACAUAUUUGAAAACUAAAACAAACUAAUGGAAUGGGGAGCUGCUGUAGUGUUGACUGCUAAUGUGCAAUUUCGGACAGAGGAACAUGAUUAUAAUACGCAACUCAGUUGGUAAAUGGUUAAAUUCAACAGUCAGGUUAACGUUAAUAACGUUGGAAUGCGGAGUGCUCGGGCAAUUGGCUGGUUAACAGCGGCAGCUCAACGGGCCAAUCAGAGCGCAGCAGCAGAGAAGCUGUCUGCUAUUAGAGGCACGGCUCAGGAGUCCUUCAACAGAGAGCAGAGAGAGGGGGCCGCGCGCUCUCGGCAGCCAUUUUCCUAAAACAGGACUCAAUGGCCUAUAUGGGUUUCCUUUGUUCCAAAAGGGAUCUUACACUUGAUUUCCUCAUCUCUCACGGACUAUGAUAAAACUAUGAUUCCUCCUUUUAAAGGAUUGAGAAGAAGGAAGAGAAUGUACUGGAUGUAAUACUCUGUGACAUCUUGAGCCUUUUUUCCUCUGCCUGGAAUCCAUCUUUGUCUUAACUAGGUCAUGGCACACCCAUAUAAUAGUAUUUAUAUUUCUUAAGUGAAAAGAAACCUUAUGUUGUGAAUAAAAAGCUGUAUUAUUUGGAUAUGUUAAAUUAGGAAAAAAACACAGUUAAAGUGACAAUGUGUAGGCUAAUGGCUGAUUGUUGGCAUUGCACUCAUGGCCUUGUAGGAUAUGAGUAGCAAUGAGUAAAUUCAACUCUUAUAAUAAUUCAACAGUUUUGCUGAUCUGGUAAUGUACAAUGUGAGGCAUGUAGUUACUGUUAUCGAAAGUGAUUUUAUCUGAGCUUUCAUCAAUUUGAUCACAUGCAAAUCUUGGCAUCUGUAAUAGACAACUUUACUGAAUAUGUUCACUGGCAUGCUGACAUAUAGAUAUAGUUCAGGAUACAGUCCAGGUUAAAUGCCACUGCUCAUCAAAUGACAGAAAGCAGGCCAUGAUAACUAAUGGCCUUUUGCAAACUAGUUUAUUGUGCUACCUGUCUGUAAUUUUGAUUGUUGAUAGCUCAUUUUCUUUGAUUAAUGACUUUAAACACUUUCCUCUCACAACAGCAACGCUGGUGGCUUGUGUGUGUUUAUACCCUUCCUACAACAGUGGAGACAACUUCAAGCACGGUUAGGUUUGUGCUGUCCAUUUUCCAUUUAAAAUGUGUCCUAAGUGUAAUCGUUGGCUUGACCUUGCUUCAAGGGCACAUUUAAAUGUAUUUUAAGAAGCCAAUUUAGGUAGCCCUUAACAGUUUCUACAACGUUUAAAAAAUGGACUUUCAAACCAUGAAGAGGAAACAGAUGGAGGGAAAACUCUUAUGGUGAAAAUAUUUACCUCAGCACUUUGGUGAAAUGCAGUUAACAGGCCUAAACGCAGGGACAGGAGGAAUGUUUUCAGCUCCAUCUUCGGAUCCUCUAAUAAUGGCAUUAAUAAGGGGUGGGAUAGCGUCUCCUGAAAAAGAAGGAUUCCAUUAGUACGAAAGAUAGAACGCUCUUUUGAAAACUUUUUGAUCAGUGGUAGGCAUUGCCUCUCAGCCAGCGAAUAUGCAUCUUCAAGCAUCAUCUGUGUGGGCAAUAUGCAAACCAUCUCUCUCUCUCUCCUUGAAGACAGGAUUGCAGUCAAGUAUUACCUCUUCCAUUUCGACAUUUUCUAACUGAGCUACAUCAUAUAAAACCACAAGGAAAUGUUGUUUUGAAAGGUAAUGGAUUUUGAGCUAUUUCACUUAAUUUGCCAUUUUAUGUCUAGCCUAAGUGUUCAAAUAGUGGACAGACAAUAAAUAAUUGUGGUUUAAACGUUAUCAGCAAAACUAACGUUAUUUUGACUUUAAAAGAAAAUGUGAACUGUUACCCAUAUUUUUUGGAUUGAUAUAGUAAACUUACAGUUUAGUAUUCAAAACAUGUAAUCCAAGUCUCAAACGAGCAAAGGAAUCUUAUGGGGAGAAAUCUCGUAAAUUUCACUGCUUCCCUUGUCCAAAGAGACCCUUUGGUAAUGUGUAGACUAGACGUGUGCAAUGGGUUAUCUGCUGUUCUCUUGCCUCAAAAUGGCUGCUCUACAGACAAAGGAGAGCACUGUGCUGUGAUAUGUUGCUGCGCCAUAACUGGGAGAGGCUCUUCGCUCGGUGAGAGAGCCUCGUUCUAAGAACAUUUCUCGGUGAUUCAACAGAAAAUCUUAACACAUACCGACAUGGGGGGGAUUUUACUCGAAUGUAUGUAUUUUUAACAACAAGUAAAGUAGAAGAAAAAAACAGUCGACAGUGCAUGAAAGGGAAGUACACGUUAAUACAUUUGGCUGUCGGUUGUUGGGCUGACUCGCCCUGGCAACGGCAGUAAUCCGAGAGCUCUGGACGGUUGCCAUGAGAGCUCGAGCGUGCUGUUGCUCCCCCACACUACCAUAUAAGGUCAUCAGGAAUCCUCUGCAGCAGGAUGCAGCCCUGUUGUUUUGUCACUAGAAAGAGUAGGUGCUUCGGGCUGUCUCGAGACAUAGAACGACGGAUCACUAACGUCGAGUGUUUUAAAUGCUAGCCUACAGAUUAGAAAAUACAAACUAACAAAGAUGCGAUUCUAUCUUUUGUUCGGUGAACGAGUUGAAAAUAGACAGAGGGGGGUCUUUAGGUGGACUACUAUGGUCCCUGUUACGCACACCCUUUUUAGUGUGUGAGCGUGUACAUAGAGCUAUGUACACAAAAUCGUUUUCGGUGCGUGACAGAGGCCUGUUUUUCUUGUUGUCCUCUCCUUGCUCGGUCUGCCGAGUGCGCGCGUUCCUCCGUUUGCAGGUCACGAGGCUGCAGACAGCAUUCCUCUCAGUCAAUCCUGUUUCGAGACCCCCCCACUCCCAGUGCAAUGGGGACACAGUUGUGAAGAAGGUUUUAUGUGUGUAACAAGGGUGAACAUUUUGCGUUCACAUCAGCCCAUGAGGUUAUUUAUAGGCCUUUGUUAAAAAAGAACCUCCCGGGUGGAUUGCGCAAUGCUUUUAGCUUUGCGCGCCGCUGACAGACUGGAAUAUUCCACACAGGAUUGGCCUCUCUUCUGCACGACAGCUGUCUCUGCACGGCGAAAAAACUAUUUUUGACAAUUGUUUCUAUUUAUUAAUUGAUGAAAAGGGGCUUUACACGUAUGGAUAUUUGUACACCUACAGGACAAUUUAAUAUCCUUUUAUAUGCUACGUUAUUCACAUGUUAGGCUGGCAGUUUCACCUUGUAAGUCAAACAAGCACUCUUCAUUUUUUAUACAGGGAUUUUCAUAGUUUGUACUAUAUCAUACCCUAUUGUAGAAGCAUAUAGACCACACGGGAACGGUUUUAUGGCUAUUUCUAUGCAGUCAGAAUGAUCAGGCAGCCAGGCAAACUGCUAUAUCCCGUCUUUCUUUUUAUGCUCAGCCUUUUUAUUCUGACGGAUUUUUUACUGAAUCAAAUAAGGUAUCCUGUGUGUGUGUGUGUUUUUUUUUUUUAAAUCUAUGGGUACACUUGCUCAUUCAAGGAUUUUUAAUUAGUAGUAGGCCUACUAUAUUUUAUUUAAAACGUUGGCUUUUCUUCUUUCAAGGCUUUUCUUCUAGGUCAUGUGCAUGCAUUAUUAGUGUAAUAUUAUUUAUCUGUGAUCUCUAUACUUGGCAAAUCAUAUUAUCCCCUGUCUGUGUUUCUGAGAUUUUUAAAUAAAUAGAAUAUACCCUACUUUAUGUUUUAUUCUUGUGGAAACUGAAUUUAUCAAUUUUGAAGUUUAAAUAUAUGUUUCCUUUCUUUCUUUCUUUAAAACGGUAUUUUACCCUGUAAGACAGACACACACUAAAACACACAAUAGACAUAGUUCACGCUACAGGGUGAAAUUUUUACACAUAUUUCUUUUUAUAGGUGAAACUCCCUUUUAGUUUUUUGUAGUAAGUGUGCGUAUUCUGGCAAAAAUACUUAAGAUGACAUGUUUUCUUAAAAUAGUCAAAGUAAGGACAGUGUCAGCUCAUCCUCUUAAAGGGACAGCUUGCUCAAAUUUUCACCAAAAAUAGCACUUGUGCUGCAACCUGGUACAAUGCGUCUCUUCUUGUUCUUAAUUACUAAAG